ACACAAUUGAUGACAUCUUUGAGGGCUCUGAUGAUGAAGAAGAAAGCCAGGAUAUUGUGAAUCAAGUUCUUGAUGAAAUUGGAAUUGAAAUCUCUGGAAAGAUGGCCAAAGCUCCAUCAGCUGCUCGAAGUUUACCGUCUGCCUCUACUUCUAAGGCUACGAUCUCCGAUGAAGAGAUCGAACGGCAACUCAAAGCUUUAGGAGUAGAUUAGUCAAAAAAGUCAUAAUAUUUUUGCUUAUUUAUAAUUAUUUAGUAUAAACAAGGCACAGUGCAGAUUCCUUUUACAAAACAUACUUAUUUUGCAAAAAUGAAGACCAUAAGUGAACAGUUGUAUAUUACCCCAUGGCUAUUUUGAAUCCUUUGCCAAAGAAUGACAAUGAUGCAAAAAUGGAAACAGUUUGGAUUUUAAUUAGAACUAUUUAGGAGUGAUGAUAUGUAAAAAGUUGACUUCUGCAUGGCACAGAGAAAUUAUAUUCAUUAUUAGUGUCAGUUUAUGUUCUAAAUCUUUUCACACUGAAUACAAAAAUCUUGUUAAAUGCCACUAGGCACCAACUUAAAGAUACUUUUAAAAAUAUUAAAAGUAUAUUGUUAAUUAUG